CGCAACGAGCGCAACCCCUACUGCCAGUUACUAACAGGUUAUGCUGAGGACUCUGGCGGAACUGCCGGUGACAAACCGGAGGAAGGUGGGGAUGACGUCAAGUCAUCAUGGCCCUUAUGUCCAGGGCUACACACGUGCUACAAUGGGCGGCACAAAGCGAUGCAAUACCGCGAGGUUGCAGCGAAGCGCAAAAAACCGCCCGUAGUUCGGAUUGAAGUCUGAAACCCGACUUCAUGAAGUUGGAAUCGCUAGUAAUCGUACAUCAGCAUGGUACGGUGAAUACGUUCCCGGGCCUUGUACACACCGCCCGUCACACCAUCCGAGUUGGAGGUACCCGAAGCCGGUAGUCUAACCGCAAGGAGGACGCUGUCRAAGGUACGUUUAGCGAGGGGGGUGAAGUCGUAACAAGGUAGCCGUACUGGAAAGUGCGGCUGGAUCACCUCCUUUCU
rnacentral:rRNA from 1 species